rnacentral:rRNA from 1 species
UCCGUGCCGGGGCCCUUGUGACCCCGGUGCGAGCGCUGACGAAACCCGAAGGCGAAAAGAAAUUGAAAACGAGUCCAGAACUCGUCGAGGGAAGAUGGCGACGGAUCCGGCCCUGCAAAGGGUGAGCGAUGAUCGGCCCGCAUUCCCGGGGUGCCUCAACCGCCGGCCGGCAACGGUUGACGAGAGGUGCGCCCAGAGCAUACACGCUAGGACCCGAAAGAUGGUGAACUAUGCCUGACCAGGACGAAGUCAGGGGAAACCCUGAUGGAGGUCCGAAACGAUUCUGACGUGCAAAUCGAUCGUCUGAGUUGGGUAUAGCGGCGAAAGACUAAUCGAACUAUCUAGUAGCUGGUUCCCUCCGAAGUUUCCCUCAGGAUAGCUGGCGCUCGGAGGACAUGCGAAGAACUGAGUCUCUUCCGGUAAAGCGAAUGAUUAGAGGCCUUGGGGCCGAAACGACCUCAACCUAUUCUCAAACUUUAAAUGGGUGAGAACCCCGGCUUGCUCGAGAUGUU